rnacentral:misc_RNA from 1 species
CCAAUAGCGUAUAUUAAAGUUGUUGCAGUUAAAAAGCUCGUAGUUGAACUUCGGGGUCUACCCAUUGGUCAGGCUUAAUUGUCUGCACUGGUGAGAUGGAUCUCUACCUUCUGAGGAACUUUCAUGCCAUUUAUUUGGUGUGGUUGGAAAUCAGGACUGUUACUUUGAAAAAAUUAGAGUGUUUAAAGCAGACUAUCGUCUGAAUACAUUAGCAUGGAAUAAUGAAAUAGGACGGACUGAUUCUAUUUCGUUGGUUUCUAGGAUCACCGUAAUGAUUAAUAGGGAUAGUUGGGGGCAUUAGUAUUCAAUUGUCAGAGGUGAAAUUCUUGGAUUUAUUGAAGACUAACUACUGCGAAAGCAUUUGCCAAGGAUAUUUUCAUUAAUCAAGAACGAAAGUUAGGGGAUCGAAGACGAUCAGAUACCGUCGUAGUCUUAACCAUAAACUAUGUCGACUAGGGAUCGGACGAAGUUAAUUUAUAAUGACGCGUUCGGCACCUUACG